rnacentral:tRNA from 1 species
GCGAGAGUGGUGGAAUUGGCAGACACGCCAGACUUAGGAUCUGGUGCCUAGGCGUAAGGGUUCAAGUCCCUUCUCUCGCA